rnacentral:rRNA from 1 species
AUGCACGCUGGCGGCGUGCCUCAUACAUGCAAGUCGCGCGCACGGACGAGAAGCUUGCUUCUCUGAUGUUAGCGGCGGACGGGUGAGUAACACGUGGAUAACCUACCUAUAAGACUGGGAUAACUUCGGGAAACCGUAGCUAAUACCGGAUAAUAUUUUGAACCGCAUGGUUCAAAAGUGAAAGACGGUCUUGCUGUCACUUAUAGAUGGAUCCGCGCUGCAUUAGCUAGUUGGUAAGGUAACGGCUUACCAAGGCAACGAUGCAUAGCCGACCUGAGAGGGUGAUCGGCCACACUGGAACUGAGACACGGUCCAGACUCCUACGGGAGGCAGCAGUAGGGAAUCUUCCGCAAUGGGCGAAAGCCUGACGGAGCAACGCCGCGUGAGUGAUGAAGGUCUUCGGAUCGUAAAACUCUGUUAUUAGGGAAGAACAUAUGUGUAAGUAACUGUGCACAUCUUGACGGUACCUAAUCAGAAAGCCACGGCUAACUACGUG